UAUUAAAAAUUUUAUCAAUUUUUACUACUAAAAACUGGUGUAGUUGACAGAACAACCAAACAAUUACACAUGACAUGCCACGUAUACUUCAUGCUAACGUAUAAAUAUCAGUUUUUAACAAUAAUAAUAGAUAUAAUUUUUAAUA
rfam:Gossypium raimondii Chr01_contig_120, whole genome shotgun sequence.